ACACGACUACAUUAGAUACCCCUGUAGUCCUGGCCGUAAACGAUGUGGACUUGGUGUUGGAAUGGCUCCGAGCUGCUCCAGUGCCGAAGGGAAGCUGUUAAGUCCAACCGCCUGGGAAGUACGGUCGCAAGACUGAAACUUAAAGGAAUAGGCGGGGAGCACCACAACGCGUGGAGCCUGCGGUUUAAUUGGAUUCAGCGCCGGACAUCUCACCAGGGCGACAGCAGAAUGAUGGCCAGGUUGAUGACCUUGCUUGACAAGCUG
rnacentral:rRNA from 1 species